ACCAAAAUCCAGAAAAAUUGUCACUAUCCAUUCGAAUUCCAGCUGCCAACUAACUUAUCAUCGUCGAUGAAAGGCACUUUUGGGUACAUCAAAUACACGGCCACGGUAGUGCUUGAAUAUCCAAUGUGGCUUAGUAAAAAAUUCGUCAAUCCAUUCACCGUAAUUAAGAUAAUCAACUUGAAUGAUGAUCCCAGGCUGCGGUUUUUUCAGAAGAAUUCAAGAACUCUCGUCGCCUAAAUUUUAUUUUCCAUCGACUGAUCGCUUGUCUACCGCUUGUUUUUCCUUCGAGUUUUUCUGAGAGUAAAUUUUAAUUUGUUUCCACAGUAAUCAAUCUGUAAAGAAUUGCAUAAAACCAUCUUUACUUGUUGUAACUUUGGAACCGAUACAUUGGACGUCCUUGUUCGUGCUCCAGUUCGCGGAUACACUCCAGGCCAAUUUGUUAAUUUGGAAAUUAUGGUGAAAAAUCGAUGCGGUCAAGCGGUGUCUUACUUUGAAGUGGCAUUGAUAUAACAAAUCACCUACUUAUCAGUAGUUGCACUGCCCUAGAUGGUAGUGCAUAUAAACGAUAUGAAGAAGUGCCGCAAGUUCACGGAAAAUCAAUUGACGGUUGUUUUUCCCAGAAAGAUCAGAAUCUUUUUUUGAAUUUCCAAGUGCCGUCUCUUUCGCCGACUGAAUCGAGCAAACUUGUUCAUAUCGAGUAUUCAAUUCAUGUAACUGGUUCAGUGGAAGGUUGCAACGCAGAUCCGGUGAUCAAGAUUCCGAUCACAAUUGGUACUUAUCCAAUUCGGGAUGUUGUUACUUGCCAGAACGGCCGAAGGACCAUCGGCACCAGCCAUUCCAGAUCAGAACAACGGUGGCGACCAGUUUAUCCAACUGCUCCAGCAUUCGAGGACGAUCCACCAACCUACGAGGAACCAACAAAAAAUGCCGACAACCAAGAGAGUGGCGACAAUUUCCUAGGGGCAAUUCACUUAAAAAGUGUAUUACUUUUUUCACGUUGUAUUACUUUUUCAGCA